ACCUGGAUGACAACCAAUUUGGUUUUCGU
rnacentral:sRNA from 1 species